GGAAAGGAAGCAAAAACUUUUGGUAGAGGCAAGUCACCAGCUUCCCUAACUUCUUCAUGGACUUUUCUCUAAAAGACUGAAAUCACAAGGCAGAAGUCAGAGGACCUGAACAGAAAUCAUGUGG